rnacentral:rRNA from 1 species
GACGAACCGUGCGAACGUUGUUCGGAAUCACUGGGCUUAAAGGGCGCGUAGGCGGGUUCGCAAGUCAGGGGUGAAAUCUUUCAGCUUAACUGGAAAACAGCCCCUGAUACUGCGAGUCUCGAGGGAGGUAGGGGCAUGUGGAACUUCCGGUGGAGCGGUGAAAUGCGUAGAUAUCGUUUGGAACGCCAAUGGUGAAAACAGGUCGCUGGGGAUGAGCUGACGCUGAGACACGAAAGCCAGGGGAGCAAACGGG